GCUCCCAGCCUUCUCCAGUGAUGAAAGCCAUCAUCCAAACAUGUGUGAUGCAAGUAUUUAUCUUCUAUUUGUGAAGGAGAGCUCUUGGACUUGCAGCGAGCCCAUCAGCUAUGAAGGGUCUGCAGCCAAAUUCCAAAGGGGCGCUGCCUGUGGCUCGUGCUGCUGUGAGGGGUCAGCGUGGGCACCCUGAGCGGCCGCGGGCUCCCUGCCUGCCCUGAGGGCCCGGCGCAGCCCCACAGCUGAGGCGCAAAGCCUCGGGCGGUGCCAGCACACUUCAAAGGCCGAGAGUGGGCCCAGCCCGGCCGCUCUGGCCCUGGAGCCGAACCUCCGGGAGGACCGGAGCGCUCGGCACGGCCGUACCGCUGUUACCGAGCCAAAGAACCGAGCAGAGCAAGCGGCACUGGCGGAGUUUGGUUCCCGGCUGGCCGGGGGCCCGGCCGGGACCGUCCCCUCACAGGAUCAGCCCCCGGUCAGAGCGUGGUGCCGAUAGCGCCGAGGCAAGACCACAGAAUUUUCAGUACGAGCAAGAAAGUUAAAGUUCAGAAGAAGAACAUCCCCAGGCCUGGUCUCUUGUCAGACCCCCACCCAAAGGACUUUGGUCUACCCAAAAUGCUGCCGCUGCCCGUGCAGUCAUUUUACACAGAUAACUGCGAAAAACUGCACUGGUCCCGUGUCCCGUGUGUCAGGGUUCACACACAAAGCCACAGCCUGAAACAUCCCCAAGCUCAUUUUCUACAACAGGUUUCCAUCAUCUCAUGCUAAACAGAGAAUAAAACAGCAGUGAGUGAUAGGUACAGAUUCUGCACAUGGCAGAGCCUGUUUGCAGUUUGUGACGUGGGCAUGGAGCUGCACUCCAAAGCAGAACUGUGAUCAUUGCCAACUAAGCCAUAAAGGUGUUAAACUAGCAGGGGAAUGUUUACAUCUAAGCAUCGCUGAUGCGACCGAGGCUCGCCAUUCCAGCCCUGCCUCAACUUGCCAAGGAAGCAGAAAACCACAAAUUCCAUACGGGUUUUAUAAGAGGAAAAAUGAGAAUGUUUCAACAGCCUGCAAAGUCGUGACCAGCCGGACUAUGGCAGACUGUAAUAAAUGUGUGUAAUAAAUGGACUACACAGCUACUAAAUUUUCCUCCAAGGCACAAUGAGAAUGUUAAUUACCAUUGUGCAAUCCUUUAUACUAUUCAAAUUACUUUAAAAGUAAGAUUUUUGGUAGACUUCACCAAGACAAAUAUUGGAAACAGAUUAGUGCAGACACUUCCACUUAAAAAUAAUGAAAAAUCUUUCCCUGCAGUCCCACCUGAUUGUGCUGAAACUUAAUUUGGGAGGUUUUGAUGAUGAACUGGUAUCUGGCAUGAGAUGUGUCUGACUAGAGAGAAACAGACCCUCUUAUCUUGAUAUGAUUUCAUCCCCUUUCUCCAUUUUCACUACAAAAAGGCUGACUGGCUCUAUCUUGACUUAAACGUAGCAUUUUGGGUUGCACAGAAAAGCAAAUGACCCAUUAGGUCAAUUAAACGCAAACAUGAACACAAUUUCAAGUUCAAUACUUUGUUUCCUCUGGCAACAGAAAGAGAACACUAAACAUGUAAACAGUUACUUCAUGUUGCCUAAAAUGUGUUGCACUACAAGAGAAGCAAGCGUCAUACAGAUUUCUGCCUUACUAGAACAUGCAGAAAGACAAAACAAAACAAAGAAAACAAAAACAUCUCACAAAAAACCAUAAAAAAACCCCACCACAACCCCCAAAAAAGACGUCACACCGCUGGCACAAAGUACAAAUGCUCAUCUAAAUCUAGGAGAAAAGUGUGUAAGGCUAUUUAUCAAAGACUGAUGCUCUGUGAAAAUAUGUUAAACCAAAGCAUAAGUUACUUUCAAAAGGCAAUGCACAUCGUAAGCAUCUCUUUUAUUUAUUGUAAUAUAAAGAAGCAUACAUCAUUCAGUUCUUUAAAGUACAACUCAAAUUGUACACUAACAAAAAAGAUCAAUACAGACAUCCAUGAACAUGUCAACAACAGAAUUAAUUACAUUUUGCUCUGCUGGUAUUGCACUUGGAAUGGUUUAGAAGUAAGGCACAGUAAAAACAAAGUAAUUUAGUGCUUCUACAGCAGAUGUCUUUUUUUUAAACACAUGCUACAUGACAUAAAAGUACUUCUAGCUUAUGUAUAUACACACAGGG